GGAAUAUUGGGCAAUGGGCGGAAGCCUGACCCAGCCAUGCCGCGUGACGGAAGACGGCCUUCUGGGUUGUAAACUUCUUUUGUACCGGCAGAAAAAGGUCAUGCGUGGCCAAUUGACGGUACUGUACGAAUAAGCACCGGCUAACUCCGUGCCAGCAGCCGCGGUAAUACGGAGGGUGCAAGCGUUGUCCGGAUUUCUUGGGUUUAAAGGGUGCGUAGGCGGUACGCUAAGUCAGUGGUGAAAUCCCGCAGCUCAACUGCGGAACUGCCAUUGAUACUGGCGUACUUGAGUACAGACGAGGCAGGCGGAAUUUAUGGUGUAGCGGUGAAAUGCAUAGAUACCAUAAAGAACACCGAUAGCGAAGGCAGCUUGCUAGACUGUAACUGACGCUGAGGCACGAAAGCGUGGGGAGCGAAC
rnacentral:rRNA from 1 species